UGACAUGCGCGGAAAUCUCCCAGAGAUGGGGGGUCCGUAAGGGCCGUGCGCAGGUGGUGCAUGGUUGUCGUCAGCUCGUGUCGUGAGAUGUUGGGUUAAGUCCCGCAACGAGCGCAACCCUCGUUCCAUGUUGCCAGCACGUAGUGGUGGGGACUCAUGAGAGACUGCCGGGGUCAACUCGGAGGAAGGUGGGGAUGACGUCAAAUCAUCAUGC
rnacentral:rRNA from 1 species